AGGUGAACCCAUUGACAAAAACAAACCACUUGAAUAUCCGUUACCUGCUUCACAAAAUACUCUUUACCUUGUGGGUUACUCCAAAGAACUUGAGAAGGCAGAGUACCCCUGCGUAGCGUCUAGUUUCUCCAGAUUUGGAGAAGGAUUUAUUCACCGGUUUCUCCUCUUGAAAAAAGCAAAG